ACGGACAUAUGACGUUGAAACACCGGUUUUCGUACGAUCGCUGAAGUUAAGCAACGUCGAGUCUGGCCAGUACCUAGAUGGGUGACAGCUUAGGAAUACGC